AGGAGGAUAUAUCGUUUAGUCCUUAAAUCUUAAGUUCAUGAUCAAAUGAUAUACUAUUAUUAGGAUGAUAGCUAUAUCAAGUAUAGAUCGUUGUGUGCCAUGUACGUUGGUUGUCUUCUUAACCAAAGAGUGUGGAGAUACUGGCAUGGCAUGCAAGUGAGAUGUAGGAGUACAUCUCACUGAAUGUGACCAAUUGCUGAGCGCUUUGCUGUGAAGAGUAGCUCGCGGAGGAUAUGGAUAUAAGUGUCCCUCCA
rnacentral:lncRNA from 1 species